UUGCACGCUGGCGGCAGGCCUAACCCAUGCCAGUCGAGCGGAUGAAGGGAGCUUGCUCCUGGAUUCAGCGGCGGACGGGUGAGUAAUGCCUAGGAAUCUGCCUGGUAGUGGGGGAUAACGUCCGGAGACGGGCGCUAAUACCGCAUACGUCCUGAGGGAGAAAGUGGGGGAUCUUCGGACCUCACGCUAUCAGAUGAGCCUAGGUCGGAUUAGCUAGUUGGUGGGGUAAAGGCCUACCAAGGCGACGAUCCGUAACUGGUCUGAGAGGAUGAUCAGUCACACUGGAACUGAGACACGGUCCAGACUCCUACGGGAGGCAGCAGUGGGGAAUAUUGGACAAUGGGCGAAAGCCUGAUCCAGCCAUGCCGCGUGUGUGAAGAAGGUCUUCGGAUUGUAAAGCACUUUAAGUUGGGAGGAAGGGCAGUAAGUUAAUACCUUGCUGUUUUGACGUUACCAACAGAAUAAGCACCGGCUAACUUCGUG
rnacentral:rRNA from 1 species